GACGAACGCUGGCGGCGUGCUUAACACAUGCAAGUCGAACGGAAAGGCCCUGCUUUUGUGGGGUGCUCGAGUGGCGAACGGGUGAGUAACACGUGAGUAACCUGCCCUUGACUUUGGGAUAACUUCAGGAAACUGGGGCUAAUACCGGAUAGGAGCUCCUGCUGCAUGGUGGGGGUUGGAAAGUUUCGGCGGUUGGGGAUGGACUCGCGGCUUAUCAGCUUGUUGGUGGGGUAGUGGCUUACCAAGGCUUUGACGGGUAGCCGGCCUGAGAGGGUGACCGGCCACAUUGGGACUGAGAUACGGCCCAGACUCCUACGGGAGGCAGCAGUGGGGAAUAUUGCAAAAUGGGCGGAAGCCUGAUGCAGCAACGCCGCGUGCGGGAUGACGGCCUUCGGGUUGUAAACCGCUUUCGCCUGUGACGAAGCGUGAGUGACGGUAAUGGGUAAAGAAACACCGGCUAACUACGU
rnacentral:rRNA from 1 species